AGCGAACGCUGGCGGCAGGCCUAACACAUGCCAGUCGAACGAACUCUUCGGAGUUAGUGGCGGACGGGUGAGUAAAACGGGGGAACGUGCCUUUUGGUUCGGGAUACCUCAGGGAAGCUUGGGCUAAUACCGAAUGUGCCCCUCUGGGGCAAGAUUUGUCGCCCUUGUAGCGGCCGGCGUCUGAUUGGCUAGUUGGUGAGGGAACGGCCCACCAAGGCGAGGCUCAGUAGCUGGGUUGAGAGGAAGACCAGCCACUCUCGGAGGAGGCCGCGGCCCAGACUCCUACGGGAGGCAGCAGUGGGGAAUCCUGCGCAACGGGGGAAAGCCUGACGCAGUCAGGCCGGGUGAAUGAUGAAGGUCUUAGGAAUGUAAAAUUCUUUCACCGGGGACGAUAAUGACGGUACCCGGAGAAGAAGCCCCGGCUAACUUCGUG
rnacentral:rRNA from 1 species